ACGCUGGCUACAGGCUUAACACAUGCAAGUCGAGGGGAAACGACGGGGAAGCUUGCUUCCCCGGGCGUCGACCGGCGCACGGGUGAGUAACGCGUAUCCAACCUGCCUCUGACUGAGGGAUAACCCGUCGAAAGUCGGCCUAAUACCUCAUGGCAUCGUCUGCGGGCAUCCAACGACGAUUAGAGAUUUCAUCGGUCAGGGAUGGGGAUGCGUCUGAUUAGCUUGUUGGCGGGGUAACGGCCCACCAAGGCGACGAUCAGUAGGGGUUCUGAGGGGAAGGUCCCCCACAUUGGAACUGAGACACGGUCCAAACUCCUACGGGAGGCAGCAGUGAGGAAUAUUGGUCAAUGGGCGAGAGCCUGAACCAGCCAAGUAGCGUGCAGGAAGACGGCCCUAUGGGUUGUAAACUGCUUUUAUGCGGGGAUAAAGUGAGGGACGUGUCCUUCAUUGCAGGUACCGCAUGAAUAAGGACCGGCUAAUUCCGUGCCAGCAGCCGCGGUAAUACGGAAGGUCCGGGCGUUAUCCGGAUUUAUUGGGUUUAAAGGGAGCGUAGGCCGUGGAUUAAGCGUGUUGUGAAAUGCAGGUGCUCAACGUCUGCACUGCAGCGCGAACUGGUCCACUAGAGUGUGCACAACGCAGGCGGAAUUCGUCGUGUAGCGGUGAAAUGCUUAGAUAUGACGAAGAACUCCGAUUGCGAAGGCAGCUUGCGGGAGCACAACUGACGCUGAAGCUCGAAAGUGCGGGUAUCGAACAGGAUUAGAUACCCUGGUAGUCCGCACGGUAAACGAUGGAUGCCCGUUGUCAGGCUGUUUCAGCCUGGUGACCAAGCGAAAGCAUUAAGCAUCCCACCUGGGGAGUACGCCGGCAACGGUGAAACUCAAGGAAUUGACGGGGGCCCGCACAAGCGGAG
rnacentral:rRNA from 1 species